CUCACCCCAUCUGGGCCCCACACCUCUCCCACCCUCUGGUUUAUGUUUCUGGCAUGUGAAUUGGAGUCCUGAGCCAACUGCACACAUGGCCUGAGCCAGUUCUGCUGGGGAGUGGAGAGAGACAAGAGGAGGGCUUCCCUCCACAGCCACCAUCCUGUUGAGCAAUGCUAGAUGGAAAAAAGGACAGAAGAGACUAGCAAACAGCAUGGAGGCCAUGGGCCACGGGCUUCCAAAAAUACCCCCCACACCAUGCCGCAUGUCCUUGGGGCUGGGGCCACCUUAAACAAAGGAUCUGCACUUAUUUUCACCUCACUGCUGACAGUGACACAAGU